AUUUUCACUCAAAUAGAUAAAGCUGUUUGAAAUUUUAACUGUUUUAUCGCACUAAGAAGAUGAUUUGCAGAACUAGAAGUAUCAAAAUCUGUCCAAAGUGUAAUUUUGUCUAGUGCAUGUAAAAUGACUGGUUGAAGUUCUUCAAAUAAUUUAACUGCGUCAUGGCGAUCGACCCAUUGAGUUGCACAUUGAUUUUUUUUAGCUUAAAACGAUUAGUCUGUGGAUAUACCUCAUCAAUUAAAAAUUGCAAAACACUUUGCCUUUUUAGAUAACCGAAAGAGAUAACCGAU